UGGCCUUUGAUUCCUAUGGAGUUGUUGCUGGCCUCUAGGGGCAUGUGCACGCUUCACUAGUCUUUCAACCACCUGUGAACUUUUGAUAGAUCUGUGAAGUCGUCUCUCAAGUCGUUAGACUUGGUUUGCUGGGAUGUAAACGUCUCGGUGUGACUACGCAGUCUAUUUACUUAUAACACCCCAAAUGUAUGUCUACGAAUGUCAUUUAAAGGGCCUUGUGCCUAUAAACCAUAAUACAACUUUCAACAACGGAUCUCUUGGCUCUCGCAUCGAUGAAGAACGCAGCGAAAUGCGAUAAGUAAUGUGAAUUGCAGAAUUCAGUGAAUCAUCGAAUCUUUGAACGCACCUUGCGCCCCUUGGUAUUCCGAGGGGCAUGCCUGUUUGAGUGUCAUUAAAUUCUCAAACUCACUCUGGUUUUUCCAAUUGUGAUGUUUGGAUUGUUGGGGGCUGCUGGCCUUGACAGGUCGGCUCCUCUUAAAUGCAUUAGCAGGACUUCUCAUUGCCUCUGCGCAUGAUGUGAUAACUAUCACUCAUCAAUAGCACGCAUGAAUAGAGUUUGGCUCUCUAACCGUCCGCAAGGACAAUUUGACAAUUUGACCUCAAAUCAGGUAGGACUACCCGCUGAACUUAAGCAUAUCAAUAAGCGGAGGAAGGAUCAUUAAUGAAUUCCUAUGGAGUUGUUGCUGGCCUCUAGGGGAAUGUGCACGCUUCCUAGUCUUUCACCCCCGGAAAUUUUUUGAAAAAAUCUGUAAAACCCUCCCCCAAGUUCUUAAAUUUGGUUUGGUGGGAUGAUAACUCUCCGUGUGCCUCCCAUCCUUUUUCUUUUACACCCCCCUGUUUGUUCCCAAUGUUUUUUGAGGGCUGGCCUUUAACACUACACAAAUUUGACAAUUUGACCUCAAAUCAGGUAGGACUACCCGCUGAACUUAAGCAUAUCAAA
rnacentral:rRNA from 1 species